ensembl:lncRNA
CCCAUCAUUCUUCUACACGUGUCAAAAUAUGACUAAAUAUAUACGCAAACAAAUCAUACAAAAUGCACAAAAAGGCAAAAAAAUUACUCUGAAAGCCACAAAAGCAGCACGGGAUUCCCUUUCUUGAAUAUGUUUGUCAUUACAUGAAACCAGCGUAUUCUCACAGGAAUAUGGGAACAGAUUAACAGAAACAAUGAGAAACAAAUCCUCUAGGUAACGCCCUCCUUUGUGGUCAGGCCCAGUUAAUGUCUUUCUGUGGGAUCAAAAAUAAUGUUUAGUGUUUUUUUUAAUAACAUUUCAAUUGUCAUAUAGUAUAGGUACCCACAUGACAUUUGCAUUUAACCCAUUUUAAGCGUUAAAGAGUAGUGGGUUCCUCUAAAGCACCCAAAAAGCACCUCAGGCUUCAGUGUCUCGCUCAAGGACUCUUCGAUUCUGACCGCACACCUCAUGGUGUCAGGAUCCUUGUCUGACCCAUUGUGUGAUUGUUUGUUUUCCCCGAUCGCCUCCCCUCAUGUGUUCUGUCAUUCCCCUGUUUGUUGUUGUCUGCCAUGUGUUCUGUGUUUUUUCCUCUGCUGCCCACAGGACAACCUCCCAAGUCCACUCCUUUGAUGGGUGCACAGCUGCAGAGGAUCAAGCCGAUCCUCAACUGGCCGACACAACUGAUCAUCAUCGUCAUCCAUUCUCAUCUCCUGGCAACGUAGAAGUCCUGUUCCUUUAGGCCCCGGUUGUCCGUACAGUCGUCUGAGCUGGUGGUUUGAUGCACCAGUUAGUGAACCAUGUUGUGAGUUACAGGUGGCUCAUUCAUCUCUCUCUUUGAAUAUCAUGCGGAGUUCUCAAAGUAUCACAAGUGAAAUAUAUUUCUGAAAUCUCUACAACACACAUAUCAAACCCGCGGCGGAGUCUGGACGGCCCGCCCCCCCGUCGGUUGGAACCUGAAAUGAGUUGGACACCCCCCAGCGUACUUUGUAUCGCAUCGGGUUGAACACAGCUUCAAACUGUGAACACAAUGCAUCAUGAAUAAAUACAUUAGUACCCUUUGAAAAAACGGUACAUGAUGUGUGAGGACAAGAAUUUGAGAACGGUCAAUGAAACAUGUUUGAUGAUUGCGUUGAAUGUCCAAUACUCGAGUGAGCUGCACAGUGGAGGUUAUGUUAUGUUAUUUCCUAACAUUACACCCAGGUGAAGAGGCCUCCAAAUGAAAAGGAAAGUAUCCCGAACCCCCUAUCCCUCCUCGCUACUUUUACCUAGCUCAGAAAAAAAAUCCUUCUCCAGGCGUCAGUCACCCCCCCGCCCUGUUCGUGGACUUAAGCAGCCCACUUGAUUGCCGGAACCCUCAAACCUUCGUCUGAGAGACGAUAACGAGACGUCACAGCUUUACACUCAGACUUUUUAGAAGGAGAGGGAGAACAUUUGUCAUUUAAGCGUCUCCCCCGGUCUGAGCGUCUGUCAGCCGAGGCUCCACUCUAAUGGCAAGACGGAUCCAAUUACCAGCCGUGGACAUCUCUAACAAGGUGCCAGGGAAAAAAAGCUGCCUGGACAAACAACGCCCGGGCCCAAUAAUGAGAGGCCCUCAUUUGAGUGAUUUCAGUCUCCCUCUCUUCUUUUCUCUCUCUGUUUAACUAUCUUGCAUUGAUAUUUGCAACAAAAAAUGGACUAUUACUUUUAUUCAUUUUUUUAUUUUUACUUUCUUUUUCAAAGAUGGGGAAAUGAGAAAGAGGAAACGCAUUUUAGCAUAAAACUCCCUUUACUACUCACGCGCACACACAAAGUGAAGUAUCUACGCAAGAGCUCUGCCAAAUACACACAAACGCGCUCAAACUUUGGAACGGGUCAUUAUUAAUCAUUCCAAAACCACGCUUGUCAAUACAAGCGAUACUAACAUCUCUGCCGCAUUUUUCAACAAAGCAACAGAGAGUAGAGGAGCAGAAGGACACUCUUCACAAGUGGCUUGUUUUUGCCUUUCCCCCCCUCGCAUAGCUAACCCGGCCAUGGAUUGUCAAUUCCGGGGGCCGGGAUCAAUGAGCAAGAGCUCCGUGCGUACCAUCGAUUUCUCCCCAACUCCCAGAUAUCACAGCGACUGUUCAUCAACAAAAGCACUUUGUCCUUUUCCCAAAUAAUCAGAUCGAAGAAGCUCCUCUCCUGAGACACAGUCGCUUUCAGUCGCACUGCAAUGCAACACCCACUACCCCCCUACCCCCCAACACAAACUCCUCCGGGGAACGCCAAAGCUUUUUGUCGCCUCGCAGCUUCCUGUGUGGGAGAUGCACAUGCUGAACAAACGACUGCGUGUUUAGAACCUGCGUAUGAAUGUAUAAUCAGAGGUACAAAUCAAUACUCAGACUCUUACCACUGAGAGUGGAGGAGGGGGGACAACUUUGCAGUGAUCAAGAAAAUAUUGAGGAGCUUUCAUGGAUCUUUUGUUGUUUCGUUUUUAGAAGAAAGGAACAAUGGCUGGGACUUUAGAUUUGCUGUGUCUUAAAUCCAUUGGUAAUGCUCCAGAUUACAGCACACAAAACAUCCAUACCCAUGUCCAUAUUUUGUGUGUGGUGGAAAUAAAAUGAACAAACUCUAGGGAGCUCCUUCAUGCCUUCGCAGCUUCGCAGCACCCUGUCCAGACUGUGGUAUUGUGAUCACUGCAGUGGUAACGCCAUCUGGAAGAAUUAAAGUGCAUGCUCAUCAAGUCUGCAGUUGCAUGUCAUAUUCAUAUAUUUAUUUUAAAACUCUAAGUAGAAACACCUGCAACUUUGAUCCUUACUUGUCUGUUCAAGCAUGGAACCAAUUGAAUGUGUUAAAGUGCAAACGUCAGUGACAUUUCCUGAUAGGAUCACCUUGACUAAGUCUCAAUGUGGUAUAUGCUUUCAUAGAUGACGGUGGAGGUUGUGUGUACAUUCCCGCCCCAAAUGAUCCAGCCUGCAAGGAAGCAAAGACUAAAGCAUUCCAAAUGGGCUUUCAUGAUGUUCGUGUGAAGGUUUAAGAAAGGUCCGUUCGAGGAGCAGGUGUCCAGUGGUUCGUCUUCCUGUUGUUCCCCAGUUGUUAUUGUCUCCCCCUCCGACCAGCUAUGGUUCAAAUCACCAUAACUGACAGGCGUGUUUACAUUUGCAGUAAUUGAAGCGAGCACUGUGAGGCAUGAGUCAUGGCUCCAUCUGCGCUCUGUCAUCACAAGAGGGACGGAGAUGCCUGAGAGAGAAAAAAGAGAGAGAGAGACACUGGUGUGGUAGGUCUAUCUGUGGUAUUGUGGUCAGAACAACAGACCGCCUUCAACAAGUGGUCAUAUUCAUUUUUUCCUGCUUUUUUUCGCGUAAGUCUAUAUAACAUCUGAUAAACUUUUAAAACUUCUCUCUUAACUUCUCCUAAAACUUCAAAUAACUUUGGAGUGCUCGUUCAUGAUUAAGAAAUAGCAUAACUGAGACGGAAGGGUAAAAAGAAUCAACUGGCUGGAAUUUAAAAUUCAAAAAGAAUUUAACAAUAACUAACAGAAGUAAAGAGGAAUACAUUUACAAAGGGAAGUGAAAUACAAUGUGAAUAGAAUAGAAUUUUGCCAAGUCUAAUGCGACCUAUAAAAGCUGGUGCUCUUCAUGUCUCUGUUCCCGGCGUGUGUCCUUUGUGUGCCAUUGAAUGUGAUUUGCUACACAUUCAAAAGUGUCUCUGCAACAUUCCUCCAUAACCUGCUGCUGCAACUUGAUACCUCUCUCCUAUCUUUCCCUCAACAUUCCAAUAUAUUCAAUGAAUACUUUUGGCUUAAAGCUUCAUCGUGUAAACAUAACAUAGCAUGCAUAAUAUCGCUAUUGUCCAAUAGCUAGUACACUUUAAUAAUAACACAUCUUAAAUGAUCACAGUUCUUGACAUUUUAACCAUUAUGUUUAACUCAGAUUAUAUGGUCCAAAAUCCAAAUAUUGCCUUGCAGGACAUCCUACUACAUCCUUUGAUCUAAAAAUAGCCUGACAGGACACACAAACUUCAAGGAUCAAGGAAGGCUUGAAACUUUAACUUACUAUUGCAGUUAUUUAAUCUAACAUGCUAAUGUAAUAACUAAUAUCUAAUAGCACACUAACUACAAUUCUAACACAAAUCAAUAUAAAUAUUAGGUCGUUGUGGCGCAGGGGUUAGAGAAGGUGUGCUGGGAAGCACAAGGUUGUUGGUUUGAUUCCAGGCUGCCCUAUGUUCCAUGUCGAAGUGUCACUGAGCAAGACACCUAACCCCUAAUUGCUCCCUGGGCAAAAAUGUGAAAAAGCCAUCGGUUUAAAGUGUAAUGUAAGUCGCUUUGGAUUAAAGCGUCUGCUAAAUGACCUGUAAUGUAAUAUCACAUAUAUUAUCAUUUUCACCACUAGGUGUGCUCUUCUGCUUAAAUCCCCAAUAGUGUAAUUCAAUGGAGUUUUGAACUCAGACUCAAGUGUUGAGAAGCCAUCCCAUUAAAUUAUUAAUUGUGAUGAUUGUGCUGCAACUUGUAUAUAGAAGGUGAAAAAGAUAUAUGUAGAGGUGAUACGCAGAAUUUUCACAUAUUCAUGUCUGAGUUUCUAUCAACUGACCAAUGAGACCAUGGUUCUUAUUCCCCUCAUAGAAAGGCUUCUCCUGCACCUUCCGUACACAUGUGCAUGUUAGCAUAUGCAAGCGUUUGAAUAAAUCUGCCAUAGUGUUGACUAAGAUAUAAAGGGUUAACAGAGAGGGAGGAAGGAAGCUGACAUUAAAGCAUGUAUCACACGUACAACGUCUUUCAUUUAUAUAGGAACCCAGGCACACUUCCCCCUCUUGCAGGGGGGUGAACUGGCCUCUCCGGUCGGCAAGCACGUUUUGAGCAUUCACACUAAACUUUUACACCUCACAGAAACAAUGUAUGAGUACAUGCAGUGCAAUUAUAUAUGCAUUCAAAUUUAUCAGUUAAUACGUACACCUAUUCAUUUUCAUCAUGCAUCGUCUCUCUCUUCUCGUUCCCCCAUCUGCCCCUUUUGCACCCCUCCCUUUAUUCGCCACUGCCCUGGACCAAAGGUAAAUCUUGCGUUUCACUCCUUGUUGUUGCUAUUAUCUGCUUUACUGAGCACAGUGUCCACUGUGCACAAUUCAUGGCCAUUUCCAUAAAGCAAGGAAAGAAAUGUGUUGGUGUGGGGGGUGGGGGGGGUAUAGCAGCAAAUGACUCAUGACUUAGGAGGAAAGAGAGGGUGGGGUGGGGGGAUUGGGAUUGGUCUGAUGGGGAACACAAACUCUCCUUUACUUCAGUUCUACCUGCAUCUUUUGGUUCACGGUCUCAAUGCCAACCCGUCCGGUGGCUCUACGUCGAUUUCCUUCCACUCCCUGCACCACCUCCUUUCCAGGAUAGCACCUUCUCCACCUCCCCUUCUGCCCCUUCUCUCCUCCUCCAACUCAUCCUCUGCUCCUACCCCUCUGCAUUACAAACUCCCCAACAUUAAAUUGUGAUAGAUGAAGAGCGGAGGGCAUUCAUACAAAUCAAUGACUUUAGUGUAUGUGUCAUUAGCCUGCACCACGCAGCCAGCGGUCAGUGUCAUAAAUCACGCCAUGAUCGGCUGUCUGCCGUCCCAGCGCCGCAGCUGCGCAAACUGCAUGCAUUAGUACUGACCCGAGCUGCUUACUUUCAGAACAAGUAACAAGGAGAGGUCCUCUGCGGAGCUCCUUGUUCAUGAAGGAUAACAUGAUCUUUAGUGACUUGGUGGAGUGAUGACUAUGUGCACUGCAGCAGCCGUUAAAUGAUUGUAAAAAGGCAUUUAUGACUCAUACACAGUCUUGUUUCCGGUGUGGUCCAGGUUGAGAAGGAAGAUGCACGAUACAUCUUAAGCAAAAGUAAAUAUAGCUCCUGAAAUUGUAUUGAGGAAUGUAUGAAUCCGAUUCUAAUAGUUUAUAUGAAAGAAAGUACUUAACUCUGAUCUGAUCCCUGCUAACAUCCUAAACUAUGGGGAAAAACCUCCCCCUAACCCACUAGAAACAUUUUUUAAAAAUUAACAAAACGUUGAAGAGCAGGUGUUUGUGACAAACUUCAGCUAAUGCCAUUGAAGGAAAAAGUAUAUGUUUGAUCCCCCCCCAUGAUUCAGAUAUUUAAAUGAAAUGGGUUAUUAUAUAUGAUAAUGAAAUUGAUGGAGCAUGCUUCUGACCAGUGUAUCAAGCUCUAACAGCUUUGCCUUAUGCUGGCCUCCCCUUCAGCAAAACUAUAUAAAAGUUAGAGUUCACUGCAAGAAGAUUGUAGCUACAGGCGUCAUUAAUCAAGGCCUGUGCUCAAUUAAUCAAAAGAGGAGAGUCCUCGUCCUCCGACCCUGCUAUCCAAACCAGAACCUGGGUGUCAAUACUAACCUCAGGGAAGCAGCCAGCCAGAACCAGUGCACCAGCCUCAGUCAAUAGGAGAAGCCUGAAGAUGAAGCUGUCCUCCCACACUAUUGUCCAGGGGUAUAGCCGUCACCGUCGUCGUCCACUGCAGGACACGUCCCCUCUCUCGGACGGAGACACACAUACAGAGACAGAGGGGGAUGCUGCUGGAGUUCAUAAUAUAUGCAAUAUUAUUCAGAGUACUUUUUGUAAGAACAAAACGUAUGUGACAGUUCACAGUCCCCCCCCCCCCCCUUUAAUUAAGUACUGACUGCAGGAGGUUGAUAAAAGUUAAAGUUAAAAAUUCCACAGGAAUGAUGGAAGUAAUGCAUCAAACAAUGUAUGUGUAAUGAUGUUGGAUAUUACCCGCUGUGAAAAAAAUUAUCUUAAAAGCAAAAGCAAGCAGACCUGAACUGAACUAUGGCCUAAAUAUAAAAAUUUGUUGUUAGAAAAAAUUCACAGUCAAUAGUGUAUAUAUAAUAUAUUAUAUGAAGGGAUGUAAAAGGAAGGAAAUGUCAUUAGUCAACUGGCCCGUAUUUUUUAAGAAAAGUUCAUUUUUACACUUCAAACAGAUGCCUUUUAUGUGUCUUUUAAGUCAGUUUAUCAGGAAAAAAAUAAAGUUUGUUUACUCAAGCCCAAUUGUAUAAAUAAAAUACCCAAGCUCUGCAGAAUAACUAGCCAAGUGCAUCUCAUGGGAGGAACUCUGCAUUUCAUCUAAGGAAAUUAAAAAUAAUCAUCUAUUUAUGAACAAAGAAAAUACUUGUUCUUCCUCUCUUAGUUUGUUUUACCAUUCUCUGUCUUGUAAGAAAGUCAAGGAAUCAAUUAAUUUAUUUCCCCUCAACCCUCUUUUCUUUGUGAGAUUUUGUGUAAGUCACUCAUUUAUUUGAUAUCUAGACGUAAUUUGAUCUCUAAAGACUUGUGGAAGGCUGCUGAUGAGAAUGUUUUGUUUUAGCUCUCAACAUCAAGGCUUUUCCAACAAAAGCUCCAUCAAGACCUCAUUAAUAUCUGCCUUCAUUUAGAAGCAAUUGGUGACCGUGACCGUGUGACGACUAACCUUGUUAGAGACUUGAACAGUUGAUUCAAGUACCGACGUUUACGGCUCUCCAUUAAACAGACCUAGGUGUUGUUUUGCUUUCAUUUUUUUCCUAAAUUUGCGGUACAAUUUAUGAACUUCAUAACUGUCUUUAAAGUAUGAUUAUUCUUAGAAUAUUGUCUGCAUGAAUGGACACUUUAUUAUUACUCAGUUUUGAACAUGACUUCAUAUAUUCUGAUUACUUUAUUUUAAAUGCACAUAGUGUCCACAACCAACCUGUCCAUGCAACUAACUUCUAACAUCUAACAUAUAACUUGUAUUCUCAGUUAUAUUUAACAUAAGGUAUUUAUAAAACCAAAUAUGCUGCAAAAUAUCCAUAUGGUUCACUUGGGACAAUGUGCCUUUUAAAAUUUACCUUUAAAAUUUAUUUGGUAAAAAAAAAAGAUUACUUCGUCAUUGUUAGUAAAAAAAAUGGUUUGGCUUCAAAUGAUUACAAAAUGGAAGCAAAACAAACACAAACAGCAGUUUGGGUGAAGGGCAAAAUGUAUGAAAAAAUUAUCUAAAACUGAAACGUGUGCCUGUUCAUUUCAUAAGAUAGUAUUGGGUACCAUUAUUUUGAUUUGUACGAUACAAAGCUUUUUGACAUGCUCUGUCAAAAAGCAUGCAUUUGAAGCCAUCCACACCACUCUCCCUUCCUCUCACCACAGUCCCUCCCCUCAGUCCUGAUCUGAUAUAUGGCCAUUGACAUUAGAUUAGAGGUAUUAUUAGCAGAUUAAGCUGAUCAAGGGAGCAGAGGACGGGGAUGGGACUGGGGGCCCCGUGUUUCUAAAGAUGCCAGGCCAGUCGUCGGAAAAACCCAGCGGCCCCCUUAACCACGCUCCUAAUUACGACUGCUACAUUCUCUGUGGGUCACGGAGAACAGUGAAUAAAUAUGCUCAUAUUAUCUCCUGUGAUAGAAGGGAGCAGUGGACGAGCAGCCCCAUCUGCCCUCGGACUGGGAGGCAUACGGGGAGCAUAAUGUGGGUUAAGAGAGAUUUUAAGGCAGAAUAAAACUGGUGUGUUUAGAUGUCUGUGAGCUGGUUUGAGGUAGUGGUUCCCUAAAAUAUUUUUAUGGUAAAUGGUGUUUAUUCUUCAAUAUUUACUGUGAUAGAACAUGCUCUCUACUGCAAACACACCCCAACUUGUCAAAUGUGGCGCCUUGUCAGUUUUGGACUGAUCAGAGACAUUAUGUCCUUAAGUGUAAACAGUCCAUCUUCAAAACAUACUUUAAAAUUAAUUUUACUUGGUUCUGGAGGUUGAAUUACAACCCUAAAGUACUCAGUUAGGUUGGGGCAACAAGAUCAUGGUUUAAUCGUAACUAGCAUUGUUAAAGGUACAGACAUCAUGUAGCAAAACUCUUCACAAAGAACAACCUUUUCAGCAUAUGUAUGCAAAAACGCAAAAUUUAUAUCAUGUAAAUGAACCACGUUCAAAGGUAUUAUAAUAUGUAUUCCUUUUUUGGGGGAAAGUUUUGACUUUGUAACCGGUGUGUAGCUAUUGGUCCGUUGCUAUCUGAACAAAUAAAAACAGGCAGGUUUGUGCAUUCUGCAUGAAUGCACGUCACACAAUAUGCUUGCAUACUGUACAGUGCAUCCGGAAAGUAUUCACAGCGCUUCACUUUUUCCACAUUUUGUUAUUUUACAGCCUUAUUCCAAAAUGGAUUAAAUUCAUUAUUUUCCUCAACAUUCUACACACAACAACCCAUAAUGGCAAAGUGAAAACUGUUUUUUGCAAAUCUGUUAAAAUAAAGAACGAAAACAUAACAUGUACAUAAGUAUUCACAGCCUUUGCUUCUUGGGUAUGAUUCCACAAGGGUGGCACACCUAUUUCUGGCCAGUUUCUCCCAUUCUUCUUUGCAGAACCUCUCAAGUUCCAUCAGGUUGGAUGGGGAGCGUAGGUGCACAGCCAUUUUCAGAUCUCUCCAGAGAUGUUCAAUCGGGUUCAAGUGAGGGCUCUGGCUGGGCCACUCAAGGACAUUCACAGAGUUGUGCCGAAGCCACUCCUUUGUUAUCUUGGCUGUGUGCUUCGGGUCGUUGUCCUGUUGGAAGAUGAACCGUCGCCCCAGUCUGAGGUCCAGAGCGCUUUGGAGCAUGUUUUCAUCAAGAAUGUCUCUGUACAUUGCUGCAUUCAUCUUUCCCUUAAUCCUGACUAGUCUCCCAGUUCAUCCUGCUGAAAAACAUCCCCACAGCAUGAUGCUGCCACCACCAUGCUUCACUGAAGGGAUGGUAUUGGCCAGGUGAUGAGCAGUGGCUGGUUUCCUCCAGACAUUACGCUUGGCAUUCAGACUAAAGAGUUCAAUCUUUGUUUCAUCAGAUCAGAGAAUUUUCUUUCUCAUGGUCUGAGAGUCCUCCAGGCGGGGUGUCAUGUGCUUUUUACUGAGAAGCGGCUUCUGUCUGACCACUCUAGCAAACAUUUGUGGAGUGCUGCAGAGAUGGUUGUCCUUCUGGAAGGUUCUCCUCUCUUCAUAGAACAACGCUGGAGCUCUAUCAGAGUGACCAUCGGGUUCCUGGUCACCUCCCUGACUAAGGCCCUUCUCCCCCGAUCGCUCAGUCUGGCUGGGCGGCCAACUCUAGGAAGAAUCUUGGUGGUUCCAAACUUCUUCCAUUUCCAGAUGAUGGAGGCCACUGUGCUCAUUGGGACUUUCAAUGCUGCAGAAAUCUUUCUGUACACUUCGCCAGAUCUGUGCCUCGAUACAAUUCUGUCGCGGAGGUCUACAGAUAAUUCCUUGGACUUCAUGGCUUGGUUUAUGCUCUGAUAUGCACUGUCAACUGUGAUACCUUAUUAUUAUUAUUCCUGUGGAAACAGGAUGCACCUGAGCUAAAUUUUGACUGUCAUGGCAAAGACUGUGAAUACUUAUGUACAUGUUAUGUUUUCGUUCUUUAUUUUUAACAGAUUUGCAAAAAUUUGCAAAAAACAGUUUUCACUUUGUCAUUAUGGGUUGUUGUGUGUAGAAUGUUGAGGAACAUAAUGAAUUUAAUCAAUUUUGGAAUAAGGCUGUAACAUAACAAAAUGUGGAAAAAGUGAAGCACUGUGAAUACUUUCCGGAUGCACUGUAUGUUGCAACAUGACAAGCAGUGUACAAUAAGGAAGAAGAAGCCAACUAAAGGAUACACUAACAGGCAUUUGGUUUACACAUAAUGAAAAAACAUAACAUGAAGAAGAGAAGAAGCAAAUGAAAAUAAAGUUUCUGCUGAGAAAUGUAAAGCCAGCGCUACAAAGAAUAGAUCAAGUCGUUUUAAUGAGAACAAGACUUUAAUACCUCAAAAAUCCUUUUUUGAUGCUUAACAUUUAGCUUUUCCUAGAAAGAUGAUAUCAACAUGAAGUUAAAUAUGCGAAUGAGUAUGGGAAAUGUGAUCAACAUUUACAGUGGCCUUCAUCUGCCAUGUUAACAUUAGGUGGAAUAUAAGGGAAUUGUUCAAACUCCGAGCUAAACAGUGAUGACAGGGAACAAAACUAUACAAUUGGAACAAAUCAAACAAAUUCUUAUUUUUUUUAAAAAAAAACACACAAUUUUCCUAAUAAAAGAUCCCGUGAAGACGUGGAAAGCUCCUGUGGCUUUGAUGGUAAUUAUUUUUAAAGUGACAUUUUGUACAUACAUGCUUUUGUCUGUGAGCGAGAGUGUGAAAGACUCUAUUCCUUUCUUCCUUCUCUUGUUUUGCUUUUAGUCUUGAAGGAGCCUAAUGAGUGUGUGCAAAGGGCCCAUCUCUCUCCCUCUCUCUCUCUCCUUGCCCUUAAAUCAGUAAUUGGUUUCAGAGCACAGACUGUCAGGAAAUUAACACAUCACACAGUGACGGCUGUUCAUUUUUUUUGCCGCGGCAUUCAUCGUCAUGUGAAUGGCCGCUGAUUUUCCGGAGAACAUUGCUAAUCAAGGGGCCGACUCUCAAGGGCAGAUCGCUGCCCUCUCCUUCCCUUCUCUCUCUGCCAGUAAAGAAAGCAAAUAUGUAAGUAAAGAAAUAAUUGUGUCUCGCUGUCUGUUUGUGUCUUUGUGUUUCUCACAUUGCAGGCGGGUGUACAGUCAGAGAAAGACUGCACUGUGGCUUAUAUUGUUCAGUAUCACGCUUAAGUCUGUGUUGCUGCAGAUGCCUAUAGAUGUAUUCCUUCAUUGAUCUGCUAAAACAAUACAGUUUUUGCAGAUAUCCAUGAUCUGGGAGUCUUUUUAACAGCAGAAUGGUGGUACUUCAGUGAAGGUACAAGUAUUAGCACCAAAGUUCCUGCUUACGGGUGCAGAGGCCAAAUCUGGAUUAGGCAGGUAAAUUAAUUGUUCUGAAAAUGUCAUCUGAAUCAGUACAAUGUUGUAAAAUGGUGUUGUAAAAUAUAGUAGAAGCCACUAGUUUCUAAGUCCAGAAUAAAUAUCUUAAAACCUUACAGAAGGUUUUGGUCCUCAGGCCUUCAUCAGGUAAAAAACUUAAAGCAUCAAUUUUCAACCCAUUGUCAAAAUAACAUUGUCGCAUGGUCAGUUUCGUAAAUAAUUAAAGACCAAGUGAUCCACCUGCUAUCGCUGCAUUUGGCCAACUUGACUUACUUACUGCAUUAAUGUGACAAACUUACAGAGAAUCUGUAGAAAAUCUGGAUAACAACCUGUUCUUGUGUAUUAUAUAUUUUUUCAUAUUUACAUGUAUUUAUUUAAUAAUAAUAAUGCUCAAAGUCACUUUACAUAAAAAAAUGUAAAAUAUCCAAAGCUGUAAAUAAAUAAAACCAAGCAAAGGUAUGCAUUAAAAGCAGUUCUGAAGAGGUGGGUUUUGAUUUGUGUUUUGAAUGCGGAGAGGUCAGUGCAGUCUCUGUUGUUUUGGGGGAGCGUUCCAGAGGGAGGGGGCAGCUAUGGAGGAGGCUCUGUCACCUCAUGUCUGGUGCUUGGUCCUAUGGGGGAUGGAGAGGAGGUUGGCGUCAGAGGAGCGGAGCCGACGGGAUGGAAGGUGAUAGUGGAGCAGGUCGGUGAGGUAGGAGGGGGCCUGAUUAUGGAGGGCUGUGUGAGUGAGGAGAAGGAUUUUGUAUUGGAUCCGUAGUGGGAUGGGGAGCCAGUGGAGUUUCCGUAGAACAGGGGUGAUGAGGUCACGGGAGCGGGAGUAUUUGUUAAUUCAACCUCAUUCAUUCUCAUGCCGUCCUGGGGACCCAGAAGCUUCUCAUUGAUUGGUGCUAUUUGCCUGAUCACUCAUCCGCUGAUAAGACAGGCAGUGUAUCAUAGCGAUAGCAUCGGCAAAACACUCGAGUUCAUACCAAGGGUACACCAAGAGCUCUUUUUGUGAGGUGACUUUAGUUUUAGAUAUGCUCAAUAGCAUUCUGUUGAUGUGAUCAGGGGGUGAUGAACUAAAGAUAUUGAUUUGUGGGGAAAAGAGAAAUUAAAACGCUUUUAACUAAUGAAGAUGACUCCUAGAAUGCUUUGAUGUGUCUCUUUUGCUUAAUUUUAAUUACGAAUGGUAAUGUCAUGGUGUGGGUUUGUUUCCUAUUUCAUUUUGUAGUUUCCUGCCUCUUGUGUCCCUGGUUUAGCUUCACUUCCUGCCUUGUCCUGUCAUCCCUGUGAUUGUCUGCCGUGUCCCUGAUUGUUUCCACCUGUGUCCAAUCACCUGCACCUUCCCAGUGUAUUCAAGCCAUGUGUGUCUUUUGUCCCUUGUCGCGUCAUUGAAUGUCGUACUACGGUGUAUAUGGCCUGUUUUGUCGGUGAGGUCUUGAUUAAUAAGUUUUGUGUUAACUCUGCACUUGAGUCCUGCUCCCGCUUACUCGCCCGUUGUGAACGGUGAUUUCCCAGAAUCUCUUUUCAUUGGCUAAAGCGACAGGGCAUGGUUGUGUUGCACUUCCUUUAAAGUGUUGCCUCUCUCCAUAUCCUCAAACAGUUUCUAUAAUAGCCUAUCUCAUGAAAUUGUUACUUCUUGUGUGCAUUUACCCAAGAGCUCUCCAGGAACAUGUGUCAAUUUCUGCAAGUUACAUACAGACAGUCAAUGUCCCAUUUUCACGAGAUAUCAUCAGUUAGGAUUCAGCAGGGACACCACUUGGUUGUGUGUAUGCAUGGUUUGGGUUAAAUGACUAAAGACUAAUGUACAAGUUUUUGUUCAUCCCAUCAGCCUGUUCUCCAAUGCAGGUCAAGUAGGUCUUUUGCCUCCUGGAUACUUCCUGGUUCUUGAUUACAUGGGUAAUACAAAUUGCUUGCAUGGGACGUUUGUAAAAUACAGCCUUUCCCUUGUUACUUGAAAGUCAAACUGUGACGUUGCUUUAUCCUAUUCCUAAUUGGGAGCAUAAUAAUAAUAAUUGACUUAUAUGAUCAUAACCAACAUUUAACAAACGAUUUAACAAACAUAUUCAUUCAUGUACUGUUUCUCAGUAACCUAACUAUGUAAAUAGAGUGAACUUAUAUUUGAAGUUUAGGCAGAAAAGACACUGCAUCUAAGCAGCAGAAUAAUAACUUACUGAAAUGGGUUCUUUAUCAAAUUAGUUUUAAAAAAAUGCAAGGAAAAAUAAAUUAGUCAGUGGGCACCAUGCGACCUGCAUAUUUGCCUAUAAAUUUCAUUAUGUUUCACUCAAAUUUGUUCAAAUAAUAAAUAUAUUGGUUUGGGGUAGUUACUUUUUUAGGAGAGAUCAUAUAUAUAUAUAUAUUUUUGAAUUGCCCAUAUUUCUUUGCAACCUAAUUCUUCUUUUAUAUGUUGAAUUCUAAUAAAAACACCAUGACUAUGUGAACUAGUGUGUGUGUGUGUGUGUGUGUGUGUGUGUGUGUGUGUGUGUGUGUGUGUGUGUGUGCGAAUGAGCAGAUGUCUAAAAAUUGAAAGAAAGUGCUAGUGAGUCCAACACAUGUUAUAAAUCCCUCAAAAACUACAGCUGGAUAAUAGCCCAAUUAACCUUUUCAUUCUUCCCCACUCGUCAGCGAAAUCCUCGUCCUCAAUUUUUUUCACUAUUAAAAUGAACUUCUCAUUCGUUCGUCUCGUCCUUCUCCCACCUGCUCACCGGAUCAGUGCAAAAUGAUGGGUGCUUGACCCUUUGCACAAUAAGAAUUUCUACAAAAACGAACAAAAAUACCAAGGGUUUUAUUCCCUUGAUGAGAUUUUCUACCAUCUCCUCUCUCUGUCCACACUGACCUUAUUUAUGGAGGUUGGUGCAGAGCAUGUAGGGGUACAGCGCAGGGUUAGAGGGUCGGGGAGAAAACAUCGGGAUGUGAGGACACAGAGAAGGUUAACACGCACGUGUGCACGACAUUGUUACCAACACUUGGGUUUGAUAGCAUCAGUAUUAUAUGUGAAAAGCAGUAUAAUAUAUAUUCAUGAAUUAUAAUGCAUGUCGACCAACAUAUCUUAAAAAGCGUGGCUCAACGAGUGGAGAGACUGUGCUGGAAACCGAAGGGUUGUUGGUUCAAACCCUGUCUACUCCAUGUCCCUGAGCAAGACACCCAAUCCCUAACUGCUCCCCGGGCGCCUUUCCGGCACCACACCGAUCCCACUGUGUGGGAUGGGUUAAAUGCAGAGAAGCAUUUAGUUGUCUCAGUAGGCCUACCUUUGAAUCUUCUUCUAUACCUUAAAAACAUUUUUAUAUCUUCAUUUUUAAAUUAAUCUAUGCAUCUGGCUGGCAUCUGAAAUUUAAGAAAAUGGAAGUCUUCACAGUCAAAACAUGAACAACACCGAAAUGUGAACUGGACGUUUAAGGCCAGUUUCUGUACAACUACGGACAAACGGUACACUUUACGCUACAGUCUUAAAAAAAAAAAAAAAAAAGAAAGAUCAGAAAUAAGUCAAUGUUGACUUUUGGUUUCACAAGGGCACGUAGUGGUCUACUGGGUAAAAGUCCUGUGUUUGUUUGACCUACCCUUCCACGCUGACCAGGUGACGUGGACCUUCACAGACUAGAAUUAGCAGAUCCAUUAGCAUGCUAUCUUAAUCUAAGGCUAUAAUUACUUUUAUCUUUGGUUUGGAUCAAGUUGGAUCUGCAACCAGUAUCUGCAAUUAACAUAUUCUAAUAGACUCUGCCUUACUGGCAAAUGUGCAUAUCUUUGAAACUCCUCACAAUGUCUGUGUGCACAGACUUUUAGGAAUCCCCAUCUCAGAACCCAUCAGCUAUCGGUCAGAUGGAGGAUCAGCCUCUGCGGGUAAGGUGCUUGGUAUUUAUGGGGUUCCUAUAACACAGUGGAAAUCUUGGCCAAGGCUGCUUCCCCCAUGUGCGGACGUUGUUUAAAGUUUGAUUCGCAACUGGAGAUUCAAAAUUGAAGUUGAAUUUGUGAGAUGACAUGUGUGAUCAGAAGUAGUUGGUUUUCAAGCUUAUUUAACGACACAGGAUAAACACUUAGAUUUACAGACACAGUUGACACACACACACACACACCGACCCGCUACCACUAACCCACUGAAGCUGCACUGCCAACCGAAAUUAAUACAUAAUUAAUGCAACAUGAAACCAAAACGUCAUGUCAAACUUUUCAAUGGACAAAAUAACUAGGAAUUGGUUAUUGUGAUAUAUUCAGGGCUGUAGUGGUAAAAUUAGAGGUGGCUAAAACAUUUUGUCAUCAGACAGACAUCGAGGAAAUGCAAAGCUAUAUUACAUUAUGUUCAGUUAAAGCUAUAUUAAAUCAAUGAUCACAAAUGUCUUUGUUAUUUACUACAUUUAAGGACAAAAGUGAAGUAAAGUAUGAGUAGGCCUCACACAUAAAUGCUGUUUUCCCAAAUUCCAAACAAGUUUGUGUGAUUGGUAUCAUUCUUGACCGAAAUUUUAUGUAUAACUGUAUUCAUCUUAGUUAAUGUACUUACUCAUUGAAGGGGGGAUGGGUAAAGAGGGUACACAUUCACCAUGAAACGGUUGAUUACUAAAAUGUAAUGUACUUAAAUCUAUUUAAUUUUGCAUUUUUUUCAAAAUGUUAUGUUUUAAAAUACUUUUAUAUGAACACAACCUUCAGAAUGUAGAUAUGAAUGAAACUGGUAGAUCUGGUGAAUGUACAUACAUUUUGAAGACACAAGAAAGAAAGAAAAGAAAUACAUUAUGAAUCUUCCCCCAUUUUAUGUGUUAUUAUUAUAUUAUGUUAUUUUUUAUGGAUGGAAAUUAAGAUUAUUAGUAUUUUUUGUUAUUACUUCUUCUGCAUUUUAAUGUUUAAACAUGUAAAUCAGGGAUUAUGUAAUGCUAACGUUUGGCAAAUUUAGGAGAAAUUGACAGAGUUCUAAGAUAAACGUGUAUUGUAUUAGAAGACAGACAGUACAUCAUACACCUUCGGACAGGUGACAGGAGUUAGCUCUUCAACUGAGGUGACGGCAUUCAUUAAACAGGAAAGUGAAGCGCAGCAUCGGGAGAAUAUAUCAGGCUUUUCCUCGUCACUCCCUCAGGUGUUAUGUGAUAAAAAUAAGUCUAUUUGAACUUGUACGUGUGUUUCUGUUUGAAUGAAGAUGGCUUUGCGCGUCUGAGAGACACCCCAAGGGUAGAAAAUAAAGUCGGGCUAAACUUGAAGAAAAAAAGAGAAGAAGAGACAAAGAAACUGUGUGACAUUUCUUAAUUUUGACAAGCGGCCUGCCAGGGGGAAAUUGUGUGUGAUGCUCGUCCGUGGCACGACUCCCCCCGUGUCGCCCAGUACAUGACGCCCUCUACAUGAAGUUGGUGUUGUUUUCAAUCUCAUCUCUUUUGAGAUGUGGCGCAGGAGGUUGGGGGGGUGGGGACGGAUGCUGGCAGAGAGGUGGCUGCCGUGUGCCGGGCGUGUUGGGUGAAAUUGGACUGCCUCUCCCCAUUAUUGUAGACAUCAUCCCACCAGACGGGCGGGCGGGUCGCGCAGGACGCGGGAUGAGGGGGGCCUUGCCUUGGUGAGAUCUACUAGAACACAUCCAUUAAAGCACCAAACUAUUUUUUGAUUUACAUGUUCAGACUCUUUAAAACUGUCACAUCCGCCGCAGCGCCAAAUCUCCUUCUCAUCGCCGCCGCCACCACACCCGAAGGCAGAAGCGACUCUGCGUGCAACGCCGGAAGAGAGGGAAAAAAGUCACGCUUCUUUUCUUUUUUUUUUCUCCUGCAAGUGAGGAAAUCCCGCCCCCCCACGCUUGUUUCUCAGAAUCAAGGGCGAAAUAGCGAGAGCCAACCUCGGCGUUCUGGUAAACAAUAGGCAGCCAAUAGCGUGCGUCCUUUUCUCCCUCAUUACUGGGUAUGCAGAACUUAAUGACCUUAACGUCGCCUGCAAUCAUCUGUCAUGGCGGCAAUUAAUUUCAUAAGGGGGGCCGGCGAUGGUGGCGGACCAUUUAAAGUUUCUCAAGUCGAAGUGUAAUUUAUAACAGUGAUGUGGGGUGGGGGUGGGGGUGGGGGGGCAUAUGUGACAUAUACAGUAUGAUGCUAGUGGACAACAACAAAAAAAAAAACAUUCAUUAAGAGAGUUGGAUAAAAAGAAUGAGAUGAAAAAAGAGAGAGGGAGACUGCAAAGCCAAGGUUGAAUCAUCAUCAGGAGGAGGGUAAUAUGGCUUAAAAGCUCGAAUACAUUAACCUUAACUCUAUCUGGCAAAACAAUAUGAGAACAAUAAAGACUUGAGGAUAUGAACAAUAAUUACAACGAUCGUUCUGUAACAACCACUAUGCAAACAAUUAAAAACUGGAAGGCAGCGCAGCUUUGGGAUUUUAAAAUGGCAGCCAAUAGUAAAACUGCCCUUUUAUUUCUAUAUAUAUAUAUAUAUAAUGAAGAUAAUGCAUAUUUCUUGAUUGCCAGAUUUACCAAGCUUUUCACCUCUUGAACAAUAUACCCAUGCUGCGGUGCAUUAGAUGCAAUUUGUACAUAUAUUGAAAUUUGUAUAAUAUUUUUUUUGAAUCAUUGCAUUUUCACCUCAGCUUAUGGUAAAUUCAGGGAUGUUAUGGUUUCUCCCACAAAUAUCUCGGCGAGGUGCGACUGUCGCCGAUCGGUCAGCGUCAUUAAGAAUAGAAGAAUGGCUUCUCACUGGAGAAAGAAUAUAUGGGCUCCACUAUGUUUAUCAUGUUUUCAAUGCAUUUAUGUUUGCUUCCAGAAUUUACAAUGAUCGACUAUCAAAAUGUAUGCAAACUGAAAUCACCAACAAUUAAUAAGAAAUCCCUUUCUAGUUCUCUAAAAGAGAAAAGAGAAAGGAGAAAAAAAGUGUGAAAAAUAAAUAGAUCUCCCAUAAGUGCUCUUUAAGUACAUAUCAUGUGGAAUAUCACCGCCAUCCAAAGAUCUAUGAUUAGGUAUUUUUUUGCUAAAUAAGAGUAUAUUACACCAUUUAUCAAGGAGAAAGGAAACGGUGACGUGUCUCCUGCCUUCCAUUCAUCAUGAUUAAGGUGGCAUCAGUCCUAGUUUGUGUCCGUGGUCGUGAUGUCGCUGCUUUGGUUGGAAAAGCCGGAGUUUAAAAAGGGCAAAAGGCAGGGAAAUCCUCUGCGGCGCCUUUGACUGGCACAUCGCAAGGUCAGCAUAUGAAAUGAAUCAACUGUGUGUGUAUGUUUGAUAUUAAAAUAAGGUUUAUUUGACACACACAAUAGAGACUGACUGUUGGUCAGUUAAAACUGCACUGAGCUCUGACAAAAAAUGAUAUUUCCCAAUUGAACUGGAAUUUCAAUACCCACACUAUUUAUAUACCUUUUCACAUAUGCUUGGACUUGCCUUCUGUAUUUAAAUGUAAUCCUUUAUAAGAAAUACAUUAGGAGGAAUGAAUAUGAAUAAACGCUGUAUUUGCUGUAUUCGUUGACCUUCAGCCGAAUUUGUUACGACGUCACUGUAUUAGAUCACGCUAUUAUAGUCAAAGAUACUGUGACCAUUGUAGAGACACGACAGACCACCAGUGGAACUCUGACCGAUCACAGCUGUUGCGACUGGUGUGAUGUCAUUGGGAGGGAAGGUGCAAGAACAAGGGUCUUCAAGUACAAUUCAAAGGCUCAGAACAAAAAAAUGAUGUCCAUCUGUCAAGAUUUAGUGCCAUACAUGUUGAAUUAGCAAUAACAGUUGUAUUAAUACCUGCAUGUAAAAACCGACUCAAAUAAAGACAUUUUAAUUUAUUUACCUUAAAAAUAUUUAUUGUCGGUCUUCAAAUUGAACUGGAUGUAUCAUAAAUAAUAAAUCAUGUAAUAAUGAAACUCUUGUUUCAACUAAAACAAGGGAUGCAUUUAGGAAUGAAUGAUAUAACCCAAUCUUUUGAAAAAUGUGAUUCUUAAAAUAAACUACUUCAUUUUUAGAAGAAUUAAUUGAACCGAAAUGCCCUGCAGCUUUAAAUUUAGUUCAUUUAGGUGUUAAGUGAAGCCACCCAAAAAAAGCCACACAUAAUAUUCAUCAAAUUGUCAUCUUGUAAAAAGAGAAAUUUGUGUGCAGGGACUUGGUUAUUACAUCUACUUGUAUUAUGAUUCUGAUCUUUUUUGGCCCUUCAUUCCAGAUGUGUGCAUAUGUUUGCUUCGUCUCAUAGUGGUCCUUCACAUUACUGUUUUUAAUAAUGGCAUUGUUCUGUGAACACAUGAGACACGCUGGCUUUGAGCUGCCGUAGUAGGAAUCAGUAUAUCAGUGUAUCCAUUCUUGGUUAAAGAAUUAUUUUUACAGAAUAAUGUGUACUAUUUCACGACUUUUCAGUCUCUCGCUCUUCUCUGACGUGUGUUUCAAUCUCCCUUGAGAUGGUAAGCUCAUCUGAAAAUACAUAUCUGAUUGGCUGAGUAGCAUCGUGAUGUGAUUAACAACAUUGGUUGGUGUCUUCCUGGAGCGGCGAAAGAGUGUGCCAAAGGCUAGAAAAGCUGCAACGGUUAAAAUAGGAGCGUAAUGAUGCAGUUUUAAAGGUGUGGACGUUUUAGUGAUCCCUGCCUGUUAGGGACACCUGUGCUACCACUUGCAGUAAGAAGAGUGUCUAUUUGUCUGACAUAAGCCUGUCAGAUCACGUAGCCUGAACCCCACAAGAGAGCUGUUGAAUGUAGUUUGAUUCAAAUGCAAAGUUAUAUGUAUUACAGACUAUUUGUAGCAAUGCAAACACUGCCAGUCUGAUUACUCUCAUUAUAAUUUUAACCUUAUGAAUCCUGAAACCGGCAGAAAUUUGACAAGUCGAGUCGAGACACUGAUUCAGAUCAUUGUCCAAAACUCUUUCAAUUAUUUUCCCUAAAAGUAAGCACAGACCAUCAGAAUCAGCUUUGCAUGGAAUUUGACUUGAAUUUCAAGCCGCAGAGCUCCUCUCAGUUCAGUACUUGGUGGUAGUCAGGAGUAAACAUGAGGUUGCUCCAUUUUCUUUGUUGAAGAAAACAGAAGGAUGAGCCUUUGGAAACAACAUGUCCCGUCCAACUUUCCAUCUUUAGUCCUGACUGACUUGAUCUUGUUGUUGAAGUGCAACCACAUCCACACAGGCAGGGCUGCAGCCAAUUGGAGGUCUACCUGCCUGAAUAACGCUAGGUGUAAAUCUGACCGAUCCCUCAAUAAAUGCCAACACAUUAUCUCCCUAUUUUAGUUUUUUUCACAUCCACCACAGAAAGUGAAAGCAAUGUGCACCCGUGACAGAUUCAUAACACAGAAAUACCAAUCGGGCCUUUGAAAUCUGCUGAAUAGAACUUGCCGGCAUCAAUCAGCCAGCUCGCCGCUCGUCCCUUACGGACUAUGACAAAAAACAUCUAUCUCGUCAAUGAUGCGUCUCCAGUGUCUUCAAUCUGCAAUGCAAAAUUAACCCCAGUUUAAUACAGACGCCAGAGCGGGAAGAAAGGGAAUGCGUGUGUCGGUCUGUGUGUGUGUGUAGAAAUCCACAGAAGCCAAGUUCAAACCCUGCGUGUCGUUCCAUUACUUGUUUGCAGCGGCCUUGACGGCGACCUGCGCUCGCUUAACGAUGAGUCACCAAUGACAGCCGAAGAAUCAAACCGCAUCGUUGUGUUUCUACUCACGGGUGUGUGUGUGUGUUUUAACCGACCCCCCCCUCCUGUU